rnacentral:rRNA from 1 species
GGUUAAGCGACUAAGCGUACACGGUGGAUGCCCUGGCAGUCAGAGGCGAUGAAGGACGUGCUAAUCUGCGAAAAGCGUCGGUAAGGUGAUAUGAACCGUUACAGCCGGCGAUGUCCGAAUGGGGAAACCCAGUGCAAUUCGUUGCACUAUCGUUUGAUGAAUACAUAGUCAAACGAGGCGAACCGGGGGAACUGAAACAUCUAAGUACCCCGAGGAAAAGAAAUCAACCGAGAUUCCCCCAGUAGCGGCGAGCGAACGGGGAGCAGCCCGGAGUCUGAAUCAGCUUGUGUGUUAGUGGAAGCGUCUGGAAAGUCGCAGGGUACAGGGUGAUACUCCCGUACACUAAAACGCACAGGUUGUGAACUCGAAGAGUAGGGCGGGACACGUGGUAUCCUGUCUGAAUAUGGGGGGACCAUCCUCCAAGGCUAAAUACUCCUGACUGACCGAUAGUGAACCAGUACCGUGAGGGAAAGGCGAAAAGAACCCCGGCGAGGGGAGUGAAAAAGAACCUGAAACCGUGUACGUACAAGCAGUAGGAGCCCACUAGUUGGGUGACUGCGUACCUUUUGUAUAAUGGGUCAGCGACUUAUAUUCUGUAGCAAGGUUAACCGUAUAGGGGAGCCGCAGGGAAACCGAGUCUUAACUGGGCGUUAAGUUGCAGGGUAUAGACCCGAAACCCGGUGAUCUAGCCAUGGGCAGGUUGAAGGUUGGGUAACACUAACUGGAGGACCGAACCGACUAAUGUUGAAAAAUUAGCGGAUGACUUGUGGCUGGGGGUGAAAGGCCAAUCAAACCGGGAGAUAGCUGGUUCUCCCCGAAAGCUAUUUAGGUAGCGCCUCGUGAAUUCAUCUUCGGGGGUAGAGCACUGUUUCGGCUAGGGGGUCAUCCCGACUUACCAACCCGAUGCAAACUACGAAUACCGAAGAAUGUUAUCACGGGAGACACACGGCGGGUGCUAACGUCCGUCGUGAAGAGGGAAACAACCCAGACCGCCAGCUAAGGUCCCAAAGUCAUGGUUAAGUGGGAAACGAUGUGGGAAGGCCCAGACAGCCAGGAUGUUGGCUUAGAAGCAGCCAUCAUUUAAAGAAAGCGUAAUAGCUCACUGGUCGAGUCGGCCUGCGCGGAAGAUGUAACGGGGCUAAACCAUGCACCGAAGCUGCGGCAGCGACACUAUGUGUUGUUGGGUAGGGGAGCGUUCUGUAAGCCGUUGAAGGUGGCCUGUGAGGGUUGCUGGAGGUAUCAGAAGUGCGAAUGCUGACAUAAGUAACGAUAAUGCGGGUGAAAAACCCGCACGCCGGAAGACCAAGGGUUCCUGUCCAACGUUAAUCGGGGCAGGGUGAGUCGACCCCUAAGGCGAGGCCGAAAGGCGUAGUCGAUGGGAAACAGGUUAAUAUUCCUGUACUCGGUGUUACUGCGAAGGGGGGACGGAGAAGGCUAUGUUGGCCGGGCGACGGUUGUCCCGGUUUAAGCAUGUAGGCGGAUGUUCCAGGUAAAUCCGGAACGUUACUAACGCUGAGGUGUGAUGACGAGGCACUACGGUGCUGAAGUGACAAAUGCCCUGCUUCCAGGAAAAGCCUCUAAGCAUCAGGUAACAUCAAAUCGUACCCCAAACCGACACAGGUGGUCAGGUAGAGAAUACCAAGGCGCUUGAGAGAACUCGGGUGAAGGAACUAGGCAAAAUGGUGCCGUAACUUCGGGAGAAGGCACGCUGAUGGUAGGUGAAGCGACUUGCUCGUGGAGCUGAAAUCAGUCGAAGAUACCAGCUGGCUGCAACUGUUUAUUAAAAACACAGCACUGUGCAAACACGAAAGUGGACGUAUACGGUGUGACGCCUGCCCGGUGCCGGAAGGUUAAUUGAUGGGGUUAUCCGUAAGGAGAAGCUCUUGAUCGAAGCCCCGGUAAACGGCGGCCGUAACUAUAACGGUCCUAAGGUAGCGAAAUUCCUUGUCGGGUAAGUUCCGACCUGCACGAAUGGCGUAAUGAUGGCCAGGCUGUCUCCACCCGAGACUCAGUGAAAUUGAACUCGCUGUGAAGAUGCAGUGUACCCGCGGCAAGACGGAAAGACCCCGUGAACCUUUACUAUAGCUUGACACUGAACACUGGUCCUUGAUGUGUAGGAUAGGUGGGAGGCUUUGAAGUGUGGACGCCAGUCUGCAUGGAGCCAUCCUUGAAAUACCACCCUUUAAUGGCUGGUGUUCUAACGUGGGCCCCUAAUCGGGGUUGCGGACAGUGUCUGGUGGGUAGUUUGACUGGGGCGGUCUCCUCCUAAAGAGUAACGGAGGAGCACGAAGGUCAGCUAAUCCUGGUCGGACAUCAGGAGGUUAGUGCAAUGGCAUAAGCUGGCUUGACUGCGAGCGUGACGGCGCGAGCAGGUGCGAAAGCAGGUCAUAGUGAUCCGGUGGUUCUGAAUGGAAGGGCCAUCGCUCAACGGAUAAAAGGUACUCCGGGGAUAACAGGCUGAUACCGCCCAAGAGUUCAUAUCGACGGCGGUGUUUGGCACCUCGAUGUCGGCUCAUCACAUCCUGGGGCUGAAGUAGGUCCCAAGGGUAUGGCUGUUCGCCAUUUAAAGUGGUACGCGAGCUGGGUUUAGAACGUCGUGAGACAGUUCGGUCCCUAUCUGCCGUGGGCGCUGGAGAAUUGAGGGGGGCUGCUCCUAGUACGAGAGGACCGGAGUGGACGCAUCACUGGUGUUCGGGUUGUCAUGCCAAUGGCAUUGCCCGGUAGCUAAAUGCGGAAGAGAUAAGUGCUGAAAGCAUCUAAGCACGAAACUUGCCCCGAGAUGAGUUCUCCCUGACCCUUUAAGGGUCCUGAAGGAACGUUGAAGACGACGACGUUGAUAGGCCGGGUGUGUAAGCGCAGCGAUGCGUUGAGCUAACCGGUACUAAUGAACCGUGAGGCUUAACCUU